GGAAAUUAAAUAUUUUUAGCGGGAAACUAAAAUAGAAGACUUUCCAGACGACUUACAAGUAAGUCGUCUGGACGACUGAAAUAUACGUCGUCCGGGUAAAUUAUUCAACAGACGACUGAAAUAUAAGUCGUCCACACCCUAAACAUAACCCCUAAACUUAAUUAUCUAAUUAAACACUUCAUAAAACCAAAUCAAACUUGAAAAGUGUUUACUAUACACAGAAAUAAACACAUAUAGGUGAAAACUAAUUUUUGAAAAAAAACAUUUUAGUUUUCC
rnacentral:lncRNA from 1 species